ACAACUAUUCUGAACACAGCUGAAAUCCUAUUCACUCUGAUCAAUAGCAAUAAGUGGGCUAAGAUCAAUUCCACCAAGCAUAGUAUCAAGCAAUAAUAUUACUAUUGCAGUGAUCACACACAGAAAUAGGAAAGCUUGAGCUUUGAUUGCAAAAUUGUCAUGAAUAAUAAAUAAUUUCCUGUACUAUC